rnacentral:misc_RNA from 1 species
GAGUUCCAGUGAGGAUCCUGAUAUCCAUUUUAAAUAUAUCGAGUCAGCUGCCAGGACUGGUCAAAUCAAGGAGGUUGAGCGUGUCACAAGAGAAUCAAACUUCUAUGAUGCGGAAAAGACGAAGAACUUCUUAAUGGAAGCCAAACUUCCUGAUGCUCGGCCUCUAAUUAAUGUUUGUGACCGCUUUGGUUUUGUUCCUGACCUCACACACUACCUCUAUACCAACAAUAUGCUACGGUAUAUAGAAGGUUAUGUCCAAAAGGUCAACCCAGGAAAUGCACCUUUAGUCGUAGGGCAGCUUUUAGAUGAUGAGUGUCCCGAGGAUUUUAUUAAGGGAUUGAUCCUGUCUGUGCGUUCUCUGCUUCCAGUUGAGCCCCUAGUGGAAGAAUGUGAAAAAAGGAAUCGACUCCGCUUGCUGACACAGUUUUUGGAGCAUCUUGUAAGUGAAGGAAGUCAAGAUGUGCAUGUACACAAUGCU